rnacentral:rRNA from 1 species
GACGAACGUUGGCGGCGUGCUUAAUACAUGCAAGUCAACUGAAGCAGUGGUAGCAAUAUCGCUGUGGAGGUGGCGCACGGGUGAGUAACACGUAGGUAAUCUGCCUUCAGGUCUGGCAUAACUCCGGGAAACCGGGGCUAAUAGCAGAUGAUGCAGCGGCUCGACAUCGAGACAGUUGUUAAAGCUAUGGCGCCUGAAGAUGAGCCUGCGUCUGAUUAGCUAGUUGGCGGGGUAACGGCCGACCAAGGCAACGAUCAGUAGCUGGUCUGAGAGGAUGAUCAGCCACACUGGAACUGAGACACGGUCCAGACUCCUACGGGAGGCAGCAGUAAGGAAUAUUGCUCAAUGGGAGAAAUACUGAAGCAGCAACGCCGCGUGAGGGACGAAGGGCUUUUGCUUGUAAACCUCUGUAGUGAGAGAAAAAAAUCCCAAUCUUUGGGACAUGAUGGUAUCUCAAAAGUAAGCCCCGGCUAACUACGUG